GACGAGCCUCACAAACGUUAUUCGGAAUUACUGGGCUUAAAGGGUGCGUAGGCGGCGCGGAAAGUUGGGUGUGAAAUCCCUCGGCUCAACCGAGGAAUUGCGCUCAAAACUACCGUGCUCGAGGGAGAUAGAGGAGUGCGGAACUUACGGUGGAGCGGUGAAAUGCGUUGAUAUCGUAGGGAACACCGGUGGCGAAAGCGGCACUCUGGAUCUCUUCUGACGCUGAUGCACGAAAGCUAGGGUAGCAAACGGGAUUAGAAACCCCCGUAGUCC
rnacentral:rRNA from 1 species